AGCGAACGCUGGCGGCAGGCUUAACACAUGCAAGUCGAGCGGGCACUUUCGGGUGUCAGCGGCGGACGGGUGAGUAACGCGUGGGAACGUGCCCUCUGGUUCGGAAUAACUCAGGGAAACUUGAGCUAAUACCGGAUACGCCCUUUUGGGGAAAGGCUUGCUGCCGGAGGAUCGGCCCGCGUCCGAUUAGCUAGUUGGUGAGGUAACGGCUCACCAAGGCGACGAUCAGUAGCUGGUCUGAGAGGAUGAUCAGCCACACUGGGACUGAGACACGGCCCAGACUCCUACGGGAGGCAGCAGUGGGGAAUAUUGGACAAUGGGCGCAAGCCUGAUCCAGCCAUGCCGCGUGAGUGAUGAAGGCCUUAGGGUUGUAAAGCUCUUUUAUCCGGGACGAUAAUGACGGUACCGGAGGAAUAAGCCCCGGCUAACUUCGUG
rnacentral:rRNA from 1 species